GGCGACCGGCGCACGGGUGCGUAACGCGUAUACAAUCUACCUUUUACAGGGGCAUAGCCCGGGGAAACCCGGAUUAAUAUCCCAUGGUAUCAAGACAUGGCAUCAUGAUUUGAUUAAAGCUUCGGCGGUAAAAGAUGAGUAUGCGUCCUAUUAGUUAGUUGGUAAGGUAACGGCUUACCAAGGCAGCGAUAGGUAGGGGUCCUGAGAGGGAGAUCCCCCACACUGGUACUGAGACACGGACCAGACUCCUACGGGAGGCAGCAGUGAGGAAUAUUGGACAAUGGGCGGGAGCCUGAUCCAGCCAUGCCGCGUGCAGGAAGACGGCCCUAUGGGUUGUAAACUGCUUUUACAGAGGAAGAAACACCCCCUCGUGAGGGGGCUU
rnacentral:rRNA from 1 species